GGUUCAUACAGAAACGGUCUGUUGAACUUCACUGGCCUGCACAGAGCCCUGACCUCAACCCCAUCGAACACCUUUGGGAUGAAUUGGAACACCGACUGCAAGCCAGGCCUAAUUGCCCAACAUCAGUGCCUGACCUCACUGGCUGAAUGGAAGCAAGUCCCCGCAGCAAGGUUCCAACAUCUAGUGGAAAGCCUUCGUAGAAGAGUGGAGGCUGUUGUAGCAGCAAAGGGGGAACCAACUCCAUAUUAAUGCCCAUGAUUUUGGAUGAGCAGGUGUCCACAUACUUUUGGUCAUGUAGUGUACUUUCUGAACUUGUCCAAUAGAAACACUUUGUUUUCUGUUGCAAAAUGUUUUUAUAUGGUGUGCCAUAAUGAACACAACCCUGACUUGUAUAAGCUCUGGGACAUUUAUCUCUUGUGCACUGUCAGUGAGGCCUGUUUUGAAAAGCAUAAAACGUGACAAAUCAGACAUGCCAAAUAACAGUAAAAGGUACCAAGACAAGCUGAAGAAAUAAUAUAAAUUCCACAACACUGGAUGUAUGCUGGAGUUUGAGAGUUUAUCAAAUAAUAUAAAUAAUUAGUAAUUAUUGUAUUACCCUUAAACUGCGUCGUGCGACUGAAUUUGUCAAUGAUGUCUACGAUUGAUUUGUUGGAUAUAUCAAGCGAUAUCAAAUUAAGAAUUUGACAUUUACCAGGGACAGUUGAUGUAUUUCAUGUUUUAUUGUACAUUAAUGUAUUUGUCCGACAUUACUUUGUCUGUCUCUUAAUAUUUUUUGCUGCAUUCCUUUAAGGUAGAACUAGAUGUUAUGAUUUUAGACUAGAGGAAAUUGUCUUAACAUUGAAAGAAAACUGCACUUAAAUAAAAAUCUGAUUUAAUAUUGUUAUUUGGGAUACAACUUUCAUUUUGUUUUGGUUCAGGCCUUAGUUAUGUAAACUUAAACUACUGCAUAUUGUCAUGAAAUCGUGUAACGUUCAUUGCCAUGGUUUUCAUAUUCCUAUGUACAAUUUAGUCAAUGUUGUGAUGCAAUUGCAGUAAUCUGACAACAGGGGGCCUAAAACAAGCCUGUAGAAGUUCAGCAUGCCAACUAUUUAAAGGGGCAGUGCAGUCAGUGAUUUUCCUGUGUUUUUAUAUAUGAGGUUGGAAUAAUACUGUGAAAUUGUCCUUUUAGCAUAAGAGCUGUUGGAAAAGACUGGCAGAACUUCUUGCAUUUUGCUAAGAUUUUUUUUUUCUUUGACGAUUUUAACUGUUUUAAUUGUUACCCAGAAAUGAUUUGAUAUUGAGAAACAGCUGCAUUGGACCUUAUAUUACUGUUUGGCUAUUCUCUCCAGUCUCCAGAUUAGAGGUUAUUUUACAUAAAUCACUUCACCGUCCUGUGUUUAUCGUUCUCCAGUCUCCACCAGACUACAGAGGUUAUUUUACAUAAACCACUUCACCGUCCUGUGUUUAUCGUUCUCCAGUCUCCACCAGACUACAGAGGUUAUUUUACAUAAACCACUUCACCGUCCUGUGUUUAUCGUUCUCCAGUCUCCACCAGACUACAGAGGUUAUUUUACAUAAAUCACUUCACCGUCCUGUGUUUAUCGUUCUCCAGUCUCCACCAGACUACAGAGGUUAUUUUACAUAAACCACUUCACCGUCCUGUGUUUAUCGUUCUCCAGUCUCCACCAGACUACAGAGGUUAUUUUACAUAAACCACUUCACCGUCCUGUGUUUAUCGUUCUCCAGUCUCCACCAGACUACAGAGGUUAUUUUACAUAAUAUAUCGCUUCACCUUCAUGUAUUAUCAUUGCAUAGUAAGUAAUAGGAUCAUUUGAAUUCCUAUUGAAUCACGUACUUACGACAAGCCUUUCUCAACCCAAUCCUCGUUGCGCCCCAGUCGUUCCAUAAUGACGGUGUAACGUAACACCAGCACACCUGAUUCAAAUUAACAGCAGCUUGAUGAUUAGUUGACUCAUUUCAGGUGUGCGUCUGUUAGAACUACAUCAAAUAUUUUUAACGUCUGGCCUAGACCACAGGAGGUUGGUGGACCCUUCAUUUGGGAGGAGGGGGCUCGUGGUAAUGGCUGGAGCGGAACAGCUGGAAUGGUAGCAAAUACAAGUUUGAUGCCAUUCCAUUCGCUCUGUUCCACCCCUUAUUAUGAGCCGUCUUCCCCUCAGCAGCCUCCAUUGGUCUGGACGGUAGCUAGACUUUCUCAGAACCACUAUAAAUAUUAAAACACAAAUAUAUUUCAAUCAUGCAAAUAAGGAGGCUGUGACAACCUUGUGUAAAAAACAUUUUUUUUAUUAUAUUACAAUUAAAGAAUACACAGUAAUACCUUCAAGUGUGUGCCAAAAUGUUAUCCAGCACCAGGUAAACUCAUGUAUCCAUACAUAGGAACUUAUAUAAUAUAGCACAUCUUUUGAAAGCAUAGUACAACAUCUGCUAUUAAAGGAACAUAUUCACAGGUCUCUGGCACAGAACUCUCCCUACUCAGUGUUUUGCCUGACUACGAUGCCAAGCUCCCU